rnacentral:rRNA from 1 species
AGAGGGAUACAUGGAACGGAAUGCUAAUACCCAUAUGCUUCGAGUGAAUGAUUUAUAUUUAUCCGCCUAGAGAGAAGCUCGCGGCUGAUUAGCUUGUUGGUAAGGUAAGAGCUUACCAAGGCGACGAUCAGUAUCUGGUUUGAGAGGACGAUCAGACACACUGGAACUGAGACACGGUCCAGACUCCUACGGGAGGCAGCAGUGGGGAAUUUUCCGCAAUGGGCGAAAGCCUGACGGAGCAAUACCGCGUGAGGGAAGACUGCCUAUGGGUUGUAAACCUCUUUUUUCAGGGAGGAGUCAAUGACGUGUACCUGAAGAAUAAGC